CUGGAGGUCUAAGAAAUUAAAUUAUUUGUCCAAGAUUACAGAGUUAAUAAGUGUCAGAGGUAGGAUAGGAACUCAUGUCCUAUGACUCUGAGUUUCCUCCUUCAAGUUCCUUGUUUUUUCACUUGUACAAUACUCUACCUUUAUAUUUCAGAGGAGGAAACUAGGGCCCAGAAGGAAAAAGGAAAUCAGAAUUGGUCAUCCAUCUGGUCAGUUGCAGAAGUGGGACUAGAAUAUAGGCUGCCCAAAUCUCAGACCCAAGGCAGAGUGGAUUUCGGAGUCCAAAGAUGCCGCGGUCCCCAAAGGAGUUUGCGGACCUGGCCCCCUCGCCCUGGCCUGGGUAAGUGAUUCCAGAAGAGAGCGGGGUGAGCAGAGCUGCGAAAGCCAGCCUCCCCUCUCUUCCCCUCCCCUCGUCUUCUCUCCUUUCCCCUCCUCCCCUCCAUUGCGCUCUACUCUCCUCCCGCCCCCCCUCCACCACCUCCCUGGCCCUCGCCGCCCCCUCUCGAGUGACUCCCCCCGCCCCCUCCCCCUGCCCUCGGCGCAGCUGGGCUCCUUUUGGAUUGGGGAGCAUCUCUGGCUCAGAGUCUUUUGAAGCAGCUGUGGGGGGUGGGGAGUGGGGGGAAAGAGGGUGGUUGGGGGCGGCGCAGGGUUGGGGCAGCGAUAUGAGGAGGCUGGGGGGCCCUCCCUCCAGUCUGCUUGUCCCUCCCACCCCUCCUCCGCCCCGAGGUUAAACCCCAUUCCUGGCACUUGAAGGCCCCUCAGGUCCUUGCUGCGUUCUCUGCCCGGUCUUGUUGCUCUGUCAGGCCAGGUAGAGAGAGCAGGGUAUCCUGACGUGGGCACCUGGUAGGAAGCUAGCAAGGAGCGGCUGGACAGUUCAACUCUGGGAAGGUGCAACUGGAAGGCUGAAGGAUGAGGGCGGGGGUAGAGGUGGGCACUGGGGCAUAGGAGACAGCUCCUAGCUUCAGGGUCAAAAGGCCUUGUUCUGAUUGGUUGCGUUGUUUCCUCUGUCCAUACUUCCCUCCCCCACAAUUCCCCGGAGAACAUCUUCUCUCUGGUCAGCUGUGGGGCAGCAGAGACACCAAAGAAGCGGCUCUUUCCAAGAGAGUGUCCUUGCUCAAACCUGGAUCUUUGGGGUUAUUUUGCUCUGGCUCCCCAAGUUUCCUUGGUGGUACCUUCUUAGUUUAGGACAGAGGAGUUAGGGAUGGGGGCAGACCCCUGACGAACAACAGCAGAAGAAUUUUCCAUUCUUGUCGGAUUUGUGUUAGGGAUGACUCCAAGACACAGAUAGGGAGGUAGGCUGCUGAGGAGGUAGAUAGCAGUACUGCACCGUAUUGGUGCAUCUAAUACA
rnacentral:lncRNA from 1 species